UCACUGUGAUGAGCUUCCACUUCAGGUCCGUGUUUUUGAACUCUGUGAUAGUAUCGAAGUUCUGAGUUU